rnacentral:rRNA from 1 species
CUGCCCUGCACUUCGGGAUAAGCCUGGGAAACUGGGUCUAAUACCGGAUAUGACCAAAGGCUGCAUGGUUUUUGGUGGAAAGGUUUACUGGUGCAGGAUGGGCCCGCGGCCUAUCAGCUUGUUGGUGGGGUAAUGGCCUACCAAGGCGACGACGGGUAGCCGACCUGAGAGGGUGACCGGCCACACUGGGACUGAGACACGGCCCAGACUCCUACGGGAGGCAGCAGUGGGGAAUAUUGCACAAUGGGCGAAAGCCUGAUGCAGCGACGCCGCGUGAGGGAUGACGGCCUUCGGGUUGUAAACCUCUUUCAGCAGGGACGAAGCGAAAGUGACGGUACCUGCAGAAGAAGCACCGGCCAACUACGUGCCAGCAGCCGCGGUAAUACGUAGGGUGCAAGCGUUGUCCGGAAUUACUGGGCGUAAAGAGCUCGUAGGCGGUUUGUCGCGUCGUCUGUGAAAACUCGAGGCUCAACCUCGAGCUUGCAGGCGAUACGGGCAGACUUGAGUACUGCAGGGGAGACUGGAAUUCCUGGUGUA